AAGCGCUCCUCUUCUCUGUCAUUAUUCUGGCUUUGUUCUCUUGCACAGGUGGACUUAGCCGUUGAGAAGAUGAAGAAGACUUGUUGGGCUUCUCAGACUUGCUAGGCUUCUCAUUUUAGUUGACAUUAGGCUUGUUAGGUGAGUGGCCCAAUAUCCCUUUCUCUUUGCUUACUGCAACGACAUCGUCUUGACUCCUUAACUCUUCAGCUACAUCUGAGUUCUUCUUCGAUCUUGUUUCAGAUUCAGGAGCUGAAGGCGGAGCAGUAGAGCUCUUGCUAAUACUUUGCUCACAAACACGUAUGAUCAU
rnacentral:lncRNA from 1 species